AUUAGAUACCCUGGUAGUCCACGCUGUAAACGAUGAAUACUAGGUGUGGGGGGACUAACCCCCUCCGUGCCGGAGUUAACACAAUAAGUAUUCCACCUGGGGAGUACGGCCGCAAGGUUGAAACUCAAAGGAAUUGACGGGGGCCCGCACAAGCAGUGGAUUAUGUGGUUUAAUUCGAAGCAACGCGAAGAACCUUACCAGGGUUUGACAUCCAACUAACGAAGCAGAGAUGCGUCAGGUGCCCUUCGGGGAAAGUUGAGACAGGUGGUGCAUGGUUGUCGUCAGCUCGUGUCGUGAGAUGUUGGGUUAAGUCCCGCAACGAGCGCAACCCUUAUUGUUAGUUGCUACGCAAGGGCACUCUAGCGAGACUGCCGUUGACAAAACGGAGGAAGGUGGGGACGACGUCAAAUCAUCAUGCCCCUUAUAUCCUGGGCUACACACGUAAUACAAUGGCGUUUAACAGAGGGAGGCAAUACCGCGAGGUGGAGCAAAUCCCUAAAAGGCGUCUCAGUUCGGAUCGCAGGCUGCAACCCGCCUGCGUGAAGUCGGAAUUGCUAGUAAUCGCGGAUCAGCACGCCGCGGUGAAUACGUUCCCGGGCCUUGUACACACCGCCCGUCACACCAUGAGAGCCGGGAACACCCGAAGUCCGUAGCCUAACCGCAGGGGGGGCGCGGCCGAAGGUGGGUUUGGUAAUUGGGGUGAAGUCGUAACAAGGUAACCAAU
rnacentral:rRNA from 1 species